GAUGAACGCUGGCGGCGUGCCUAAUACAUGCAAGUCGAGCGAACAGACGAGGAGCUUGCUCCUCUGACGUUAGCGGCGGACGGGUGAGUAACACGUGGAUAACCUACCUAUAAGACUGGGAUAACUUCGGGAAACCGGAGCUAAUACCGGAUAAUAUAUUGAACCGCAUGGUUCAAUAGUGAAAGACGGCUUUGCUGUCACUUAUCGAUGGAUCCGCGCCGCAUUAGCUAGUUGGUAAGGUAACGGCUUACCAAGGCAACGAUGCGUAGCCGACCUGAGAGGGUGAUCGGCCACACUGGAACUGAGACACGGUCCAGACUCCUACGGGAGGCAGCAGUAGGGAAUCUUCCGCAAUGGGCGAAAGCUUGACGGAGCAACGCCGCGUGAGUGAUGAAGGUCUUCGGAUCGUAAAACUCUGUUAUUAGGGAAGAACAAAUGUGUAAGUAACUAUGCACGUCUUGACGGUACCUAAUCAGAAAGCCACGGCUAACUACGUG
rnacentral:rRNA from 1 species